rnacentral:rRNA from 1 species
UACGAAGGGGGCUAGCGUUGCUCGGAAUUACUGGGCGUAAAGGGCGCGUAGGCGGCACUGUUAGUCAGGCGUGAAAGUCCUGGGCUCAACCUGGGAACUGCGCUUGAUACGGCAGAGCUAGAGGAUGGAAGAGGGUCGCGGAAUUCCCAGUGUAGAGGUGAAAUUCGUAGAUAUCGGGAGGAACACCGGUGGCGAAGGCGGCGACCUGGGUAGAUACUGACGCUGAGGUGCGAAAGCGUGGGGAGCAAACAGG